ensembl:lncRNA
GUGGACUGGGAAAGGGAAGGGGGAAAUUAAUGAUUACACAGUAAAUCAAAAAGCUAGUUUUUAGGGUGAAUGAAAGGCUGUGUUACAACUCUGUCUAUACAAACCAGUGGAGGCAGAGAUUGGUUUGUUCGGUGUUUCGCUCCCCACAGUUCCCAAAAGCAAGCCUCUCUGGGGAAGAGCUGUUAGACAAAGGACAUGGGUUGAUCCUAUUUCAGCACGGAUUUCUCUGAAAAUCUCUGCAGCAGACAGAGGAAAAACAUAUGUCCUAAAUGUCUCUCCAAAGGCCUCAGCUGCAACUCUCAAGUCAAAGGUAAUGAUGGUAUUUGGAAUCUGCAAGAUAACAGUGUAACAGGAUCUGUCAGCUGGACAUGGAGGAGCAAUCCUUGUAAGAAACACAUUCUGUCUGAACACAAUCCCAUUUCAUACUUGUGUUCCCAUGAGUCUCAUGUGGACAAUUCAUAAGGUACUGCGGGAUUCUGGGGUAUUUAUUACAAAAUACAUAUAUACAUAUAUUUGAUCCAUCAAGACUUACAUAUAUGAAAUUCAUAUUUCCUUAUGACUGUUCCUUUGUUUUAUCUAUUGAAGCACUACAAGGAAUGUUUCUCUGUUUUUGAUGUCUCACAUACCUAUUAGUGCAAAGUAAGCUGAUGAAAGCACAGGCACAUGGAGAUGGACAAUUCUGAAUUAAUUCUACUAGAUCUCACCUACCAUUGGCUUUACAUGGUACAAAUAUCUACUCUCUAGCGUUAUGUAACUUGUAGUAUAACAAUUUGCACUUUGUAGAAGGUUUUGCUUAUCACAUGCAUUGUGGACAGGAACUACUUAAUUUUCAUGAGAAUUUCUUGAAGACAACUGUGCUAAGAGGCAGAGGGA